rnacentral:rRNA from 1 species
UGGGGAAUAUUGCACAAUGGGCGAAAGCCUGAUGCAGCAACGCCGCGUGAGUGAUGAAGGUCUUCGGAUUGUAAAGCCCUGUCUUUUGGGACGAUAAUGACGGUACCAAAGGAGGAAGCCACGGCUAACUACGUGCCAGCAGCCGCGGUAAUACGUAGGUGGCGAGCGUUGUCCGGAUUUACUGGGCGUAAAGGGUGCGUAGGCGGAUGUUUAAGUGAGAUGUGAAAUACCCGGGCUUAACUUGGGUGCUGCAUUUCAAACUGGAUAUCUAGAGUGCAGGAGAGGAGAAUGGAAUUCCUAGUGUAGCGGUGAAAUGCGUAGAGAUUAGGAAGAACACCAGUGGCGAAGGCGAUUCUCUGGACUGUAACUGACGCUGAGGCACGAAAGCGUGGGUAGCAAACAGGAUUAGAUACCCUGGUAGUCCACG